UCGAUCUACCCUUAUCCCCUUUUCCAAAGCGGCGCAAACAAUUACCAGCACGUUCUCAGCGCUAGGUCUAAUUGGGUGAGUUUUUAUUGUAGAAAUGCGCCCCUGAAGAUGUGAGACGCGUAGGUGGGCCCCUGCGCCUUUCCACCGGCCUCCCACUGCCCGUGCUCACAGAAGAAACUGGGUCCUUAGACCCAGGCGGGACCCACUGAAACCCCGCGUUCAGUCAUUUCCCAGGGGGAUGCGGCCCCCCAGUGCCAACCUUCCAAAGUUCAGGUGAGUUCACGACGCUCGGAUCCUAGUGGGGUCCUCCUCGGUGUCAAGGAGCAAGAGAGGCCGUAGCAGCUGUGGGAAACAGCCACAGGGCCUGCGAGUCCAGACGGGUAGCUCCAGGCUAGUUGCACGCUUGCGGUUCCUGCCCCUUCCGUGUGCAAAGUAAGGAAGUCAGCAGGCGGCGAGCAAGCAGGCGAAGGCCGAAUGGCGCAGCUGGCAACCGAUGAAGAGGACGACGAGCGCCACCGAGAGCAGCAGCAGGAAGAAGAGCAGCAGGUAGGUGGGCAGGUCGGGCUUUGGCGGCUGCCCGGGGGAGCGGCUGCGAACCAAUGAGGGCAAGAGAGGACGCGGCUGCGACUGCCCCCAGCCCGGCCUCACAUCACUCAGGGACAGAGGGACAGAGACAGGGACAGAGAGAGAGAGAGAAAGAGAGAAAAGCACAGGGUCACAGGAAGACUGACGGGCAAAGACACAGUUACAGACCUAUGAACAGAGCCACACGCCAAACAGGGACAAACCGUUGAGGUAAGAGUUGGGAAGAUGUGGCAAAACAGGACUUAUAUUCCUUAUGGCAACGAUGGGCUGAGCUGAGUGUCUGCAGCCUGCUUUAGGCAGGGCACGGCUGUGCAGUCUGUCAUCGUCCCUCGUCACUCCCAUCAAUGCUGGCACCAACCUCACUUCUAUUUAUCGCCUCAUCUGAUCGGCUGUUUCUUAUAGCAGAGACGUCUGCAAGGCAUGUGAAUUUGUAACCAUCACCCUCCUCACAGGGUUGCUGUGAGGAUCCGGUGGACUGAUGCAUGCAAAGCCCCGAGCACAGUGCCUGGUACACGGCAAAAGCUGAAUACUUCUGGCCAGCCCUAGGAAUAUUUCCUUGGGAGCAGAGGGCUCUUCUGGAAGCUUCUGGAAGAUGAAUGGCAUCUUCGCACACCUGCUCCGAACAGGCAUUGUUUGGGACUCAGCGCCCUCUGGUGGCUGCUCUCCCCACUCACACUUAGCCUCUUCCUUGGUUGGGGGGACACUUUGAGGCCUCAUUCCUGCCCCUCCCCUUCCUUUCACAUGGAGGAAAGUUCUAGAAUGGGGUGGGAGAAAACUUUCCACUUGUUCUGCAUUUCCUUUACCUCCUUCCUGACCUUAGGUCUGGGCACAGGAGGAGGGGCUUGGAGGUGGAGGCUGGAGCUUCUGGGGGUCCUGGCUGCAUGACUCUAAGGAGGGUGGUGCCUUCGUCCCCACCCAACCCCCACCGCAUCGGCCCAUUCUCCUCCCGAAGCAUCCCUGGGCCACAGGUUCCCAAGGCCACCUCCAGACUGGGCCCGCGAGUGGGGCGGCCCUGGUAGCGUAUCCACAGAAGUUAUUAUGAGGAGGAGCCUGGAGAGAAUGGCUCGGCACAGCAGAUGCAGCCGUGGUGGCCAUGGAGCUGACCAGCCUCUUGGGAGUGAGCUGGCCACCUGAGCACGGUCCACUCAGCCCACACAAGCAGCAGCACCACCUCGCUGACAGGAGCUUCGUCAAUGCCUGCCGCCUCCUCCUUCCAUAACGAGGGACCACCUAGCAGGGACUUUCACUUUUAUUUCCACAGAGAACCUUGUGGUUAGAAGUCCAAUGGGUCUAGGCUGUGGGAAUCUUCUUAUUAACCACAAACAGAUGUCAAAAGGAUCUUUCCUAAUACUGUAGAUACUGCACUUGGCUCGUGUGGGAGUCCACUGUCUGUGGAAACAUUACUCGUCUAUUUUUCAGGUCUGCAGAGCCCAGACUGAAAAACACAUUAAAAAAAUGGUUUUGUGAAAAAUAACAAUUCAGACACCCUGGAGCCUAAGGAAAA
rnacentral:lncRNA from 1 species